rnacentral:rRNA from 1 species
UACAGAGGUCCCAAGCGUUGUUCGGAUUCAUUGGGCGUAAAGGGUGCGUAGGCGGCGCGGUAAGUCGGGUGUGAAAUCUCGGGGCUUAACUCCGAAACUGCAUUCGAUACUGCCGUGCUUGAGGGUUGGAGGGGGGACUGGAAUACUUGGUGUAGCAGUGAAAUGCGUAGAUAUCAAGUGGAACACCAGUGGCGAAGGCGAGUCCCUGGACAAACUCCUGACCACUGAGGCACGAAAGCUAGGGGAGCAAACAGG